UACCAGUGGAAGAAGAUAGUGGCCCUUGGGAAGUAGGGGCAUUAGAGGACGUAGGAGCCUCAACAUUGGAUGGGUAAAUUAGGGCUUGGAGCUUGAAGGUAGUAAUAAGGGGAAGGCAUGAUGUUGGAUGAUGAUGGUGAUGUUGCUCCUCCUCCUCCUCCGUACAUUUGCUGUUGAUAGUAUUGUGCCUGUUGGAGCUGUGCGUUGUAUAGGGCCUGCAUGUAACUUAUAUGUUUUAUUAAUAUAUUACCAACCUGAACACAAUAAUUAAUGAUAAUCUCUGAGUGCAUUAUUUUAUGAUUCACUCUAUUUCUUCUACCUCA